GUGCUGUAUAAAUUAUGGCAGUAUUUGCAUCAUGAUUUCCCAAUUUAUAUUUUGUUUGGUCUUCUAUCUUGCUUCCAUCUUCAUUAAGUUUUAUCACUGUAUGUUAGCAAAUAAAAUCAUAGAAAAUAACUGAAUAUAAGGUUGUUGUACAUGCUGAGAUCGAUUGUUCAUGUGAUUAAUUUUGUCGUCCAACUGACAUAUGUGUCAUUCAUUAUGCAGGAAUGCAAUCUGAAAUGCUCAUGUUGCUCUUGCAUCUGGCCAGAUGAUAAACUGAAUGGGGAAGUUACUCCAUCUCUCAUUUAAGAGCUACUGGAGAAUAAGGAGAUAGAUAAAGAAGAUGAACAUUAAAGCUUUUAGAAAUCCAGAGACACAUAAGCAAUGGCUCUUGGGUAAUGUUACUAGAGAAAGCAAAGAAGCAAUUCCGUCCUGCAAACAGGGAGGACUAGUGAUAAACUGGUUAUAAUAGAGAAUCAUAAGGAAUGGGAAAAGCUCUCUUCAGUGAGCCAGGUUAAUACUGCAUAUGACAGUAUGACUCCUGUUUCAGGGUUUGAAUCAUUUAGCGAGGUAAAUGCAUUACAUGUAACAUGAUAUUGUCGGAGCUCUCCUUUAUACCCGUGCUUGUUUCCGUGUG